rnacentral:rRNA from 1 species
UGGGGAAUAUUGCACAAUGGGCGAAAGCCUGAUGCAGCAACGCCGCGUGAGGGACGACGGCCUUCGGGUUGUAAACCUCUUUAGCAAGGAAGAAGCGAAAGUGACGGUACUUGCAGAAAAAGCGCCGGCUAACUACGUGCCAGCAGCCGCGGUAAUACGUAGGGCGCAAGCGUUAUCCGGAAUUAUUGGGCGUAAAGAGCUCGUAGGCGGUUUGUCGCGUCUGCUGUGAAAACCCGAGGCUCAACCUCGGGCCUGCAGUGGGUACGGGCAGACUAGAGUGCGGUAGGGGAGAUUGGAACUCCCGGUGUAGCGGUGGAAUGCGCAGAUAUCAGGAAGAACACCGAUGGCGAAGGCAGAUCUCUGGGCCCGUAACUGACGCUGAGGAGCGAAAGGGUGGGGAGCAAACAGGCUUAGAUACCCUGGUAGUCCACCCGUAAACGUUGGGAACUAGUUGUGGGGUCCAUUCCACGGAUUCCGUGACGCAGCUAACGCAUUAAGUUCCCCGCCUGGGGAGUACGGCCGCAAGGCUAAAACUU